AGCAGCCGCGGUAAUUCCAGCUCCAAUAGCGUAUAUUAAAGUUGUUGCAGUUAAAAAGCUCGUAGUUGAAUUUCGGGAUCAAUAUGUUGGUCGUGCCUCGGUACGUACUAGCAUAUUGGUUUCUCCUUUCUGAAGAACCAUGAUGUCAUUUAUUUGGUGUCGUGGGGAAUCAGGACUGUUACUUUGAAAAAUUAGAGUGUUUAAAGCAGGCUCACGCUUGAAUACAUUAGCAUGGAAUAAUGAAAUAGGACGUUUGAUUCUAUUUUGUUGGUUUCUAGGAUCGACGUAAUGAUUAAUAGGGAUAGUUGGGGGCAUUAGUAUUCAAUUGUCAGAGGUGAAAUUCUUGGAUUUAUUGAAGACUAACUACUGCGAAAGCAUUUGCCAAGGAUGUUUUCAUUAAUCAAGAACGAAAGUUAGGGGAUCGAAGACGAUCAGAUACCGUCGUAGUCUUAACCAUAAACUAUGCCGACUAGGGAUCGGAUGAUGUUAAUUUUUAAUGACUCAUUCGGCG
rnacentral:rRNA from 1 species